rnacentral:rRNA from 3 species
CUUUCAACAACGGAUCUCUUGGUUCCAGCAUCGAUGAAGAACGCAGCGAAAUGCGAUAAGUAAUGUGAAUUGCAGAAUUCAGUGAAUCAUCGAAUCUUUGAACGCACAUUGCGCCCCUUGGUAUUCCGAGGGG